rnacentral:snRNA from 1 species
UUAUAUACCUGUCACCGGGUUCAGGGUGAUCAAGAAUGUUCUGACCCUUGUUGAAGGCUCACCAUUGCACCUCGGUGGGUUGAAACUCACGACUGACCCUAAUUAGGUGCGCUCGUGAGUGUAGUUUUUGUCGUUAAGGAGGCCUCAGAGUCCUCCNNN